rnacentral:rRNA from 1 species
UGGGUAACCUGCCCNUAAAACUGGGAUAACUCCGGGAAACCGGGGCUAAUACCGGAUUUAUUUUGAACCGCAUGGUUCGAAUUUGAUAGGCUGCUUCGGCUGGCACUUGUGGAUGGACCCGCGUCGCAUUAGCUAGUUGGUGAGGUAACGGCUCACCAAGGCAACUAUGCGUAGCCGACCUGANAGGGUGAUCGGCCACACUGGGACUGAGACACGGCCCANACUCCUACGGGAGGCAGCAGUANGGAAUCUUCCGCAAUGGACGAAAGUCUGACGGAUUUCGCCGCGUGANUGAUGAAGGCUUUCGGGUCGNAAACUCUGUUGUUAGGGAAGAACAAGUGCUAGUUGAAUAANCUGGCACCUUGACGGUACCUAACCAGAAAGCCACGGCUAACUACGUGCCAACUUCCGCGG